AUUGAACGCUGGCGGAAUGCUUUACACAUGCAAGUCGAACGCCAGCACGGACUUCGGUCUGGUGGCGAGUGGCGAACGGGUGAGUAAUGUAUCGGAACGUGCCCAGUCGUGGGGGAUAACGUAGUGAAAAUUACGCCAAUACCGCAUACGAUCUAUGGAUGAAAGCGGGGGAUCGCAAGACCUCGCGCGAUUGGAGCGGCCGAUAUCAGAUUAGGUAGUUGGUGGGGUAAAGGCCCACCAAGCCAACGAUCUGUAGCUGGUCGGAGAGGACGACCAGCCAGACUGGAACUGAGACACGGUCCAGACUCCUACGGGAGGCAGUAGUGGGGAAUUUUGGACAAUGGGCGAAAGCCUGAUCCAGCCAUUCCGCGUGCAGGAUGAAGGCCCUCGGGUUGUAAACUGCUUUUGUACAGAACGAAAAGGUUUCUACUAAUACUAGGAGCUCAUGACGGUACUGUAAGAAUAAGCACCGGCUAACUACGUGCCAGCCGCCGCGGUAA
rnacentral:rRNA from 1 species